rnacentral:lncRNA from 1 species
CUGAAGAAUCUUAGAGCAAGGAUAUAAUAUUCUGUUUGAGUUGUUUACUUUUGCAGGAAGCAAUCUUCCCUCCCACACGCCAAGCCUGCAGGGAAAGCCUGCUGAAUACAGACUAGGUUCAGGUCGACUAUACACUAGGGAGGAGAAGCAGGAGGGGGUGACCUCUCACUGAGACCAGAGCGGCUUGGAGGCAAGAGGAGCUCUGUAGCAGGUAAGAGGCAAAUGUCAGGUCAGUUCAUAAAGGAGCGGCAGAUCCAGUCAAAAAAGUCUCAACCAGCCAAAAAAGAAAUAGGCAAGAAAGUGGAGACUUCUGGGUGACCUGAGGCAGAUGCAGCUGGACUGAAGAAACGCCCAUCCAGGGUUUCCUUCCAGUAAACUGAGAGCUCCGAAAGAGUAUCUUCAGAGCACUGAAGGAGGUGCAGGAAGUGCAGAAAAUGCAGAAAACAAAGGAAAUGCAGUGGGGAGGGGCCUGGCUUCUGCACAUUGCAUUCACUGCUGUCUCCCCAAGGAAAGCUGUGAGAGCUGGACUGGAGAUUGGACGCAUCUGGAAGGAAAAGGAUUCUUCAGCACAAGGGGGAAUAACUCUCAAAACCGACAGGAAUGUAUGAUGGCUCUCUCCUUAAAGCCAGAAACAAAAGAAAGAUGACUGUUAUCAAUACUCUGUUCUUGAAAGUUCUCUAUCAAUCAGCUAAGAAAGUGAAAGAAGUGUGAUCGUGAAGAAGUAGGAAAAAGUACCAAGACUUGCUGACAGGUAAUUUAAUUGCCUACCUAGAAAAUUGAGAGAAGUAGAAAAACUAGAAGAGUUAAUAUAAAGUGGCUGGUUACAAAGUAAACAUUCAAAAAUCCAUAGUUGUUCUAGGAAUAACUAGAUAGAAAAUGUAAUAGACUCUAUCAACAGAUAGCAAUGCAAUUUAGAAAAUACAUAGGAGCAAAUUUAACAUGAAAUUGGCUGGGUAUUUUUAACAGUGGUAUGUUUUUUUACAGAGGGACAUAAAAAUCCACUUGAAUAAUUAAAGAGAUAUACAUAGGCAAUGGAACAGUUAUUGCCAAGAUAAUCAAUUCUCCCAAAACUAAUUUACAAAUUGAAUGUGAUUUUAAUGAAAACACAAGAUUAUUUUUUGAACUUGCGAAAUAGACCCUAAGUUCAUCUGAAAGAAUAAGUGCCCAAAGAGAGCCAAGAAAUUUUUGAGGAAACAGAAAUAAUAUCAGUGUGUCUGGAGGUGGUUCCUUCUGGUGGGUUUGUGGUCUUGCUGACUUCAAGAAUGAAGCCAUGGACCUUUGCGGUGAGUGUUACAGCUCUUAAAGGUGGCACGGACCCAAAGAGUGUGUAGCAGCAAGAUUUAUUGUGAAAAGCGAAAGAACAAAGCUUCCACAGCAUGGAAGGGGACCCGACCAGGUUGCAGCUGUUGGCUGGGGGUGGUCAGCUUUUCUUUCCUUAUGUGUCCCUGCCCAUGUCCUGCUGAUUGGUCCAUUUUACAGAGUGCUGAUUGGUCCAUUUUACAGAGUGCUGAUUGGUCCAUUUUACAGAGUGCUGAUUGGUCCAUUUUACAAACCUCUAGCUAGCUAUAGAGCACUGAUUGGUGCAUUUUUACAGAGCACUGAUUGGUGCAUUUUACAAACCUCUAGUGAGCUACAGAGCGCCAACUGCUGCGUUUUUACAGAGCACUGAUUGGUGCAUUUUACAAGCCUCUGGUAAGACAGAAAAGUUCUCCAAGUCCCCAUUCGACCCAGGAAGUCCAGCUGGCUUCACCUCUCACCAGUACUUGUGUUACAAAUACUGAUUCAAAGCUACAAUAAUUUGAUUAUGGUUCAGGAAUAGGCAGAUAAACAGAAAAGAAA